AUUGAACGCUGGCGGAAUGCUUUACACAUGCAAGUCGAACGAUGAAGUCUAGCUUGCUAGACGGAUUAGUGGCGAACGGGUGAGUAAUAUAUCGGAACGUACCUUGUAAUGGGGGAUAACUAGUCGAAAGAUUAGCUAAUACCGCAUACGCCCUGAGGGGGAAAGUAGGGGAUCUUCGGACCUUACGUUAUAAGAGCGGCCGAUAGCUGAUUAGCUAGUUGGUGGGGUAAAGGCCUACCAAGGCGACGAUCAGUAGCUGGUCUGAGAGGACGACCAGCCACACUGGAACUGAGACACGGUCCAGACUCCUACGGGAGGCAGCAGUGGGGAAUUUUGGACAAUGGGCGAAAGCCUGAUCCAGCCAUUCCGCGUGAGUGAAGAAGGCCUUCGGGUUGUAAAGCUCUUUCGCAAGGGAAGAAAACUUACAUUCUAAUAAAGUGUGAGGCUGACGGUACCUUGAUAAGAAGCACCGGCUAACUACGUGCCAGCAGCCGCGGUAA
rnacentral:rRNA from 1 species